AUUGAUAUUUUGUUAUCUGCGUUAAAAAGUUGGUAAAAUGACUCGAGAAGACGACAAGUCAACUAUCACUAUUUGGUUUCUUUACUUUAUACUGAUCCUAAAAUGUAAUAUUUCUUACUGAGAUUUCAGUUGAAGAAGAAUUGUAAUAGUAAUUUCUGGAAACCCACAUAGAAGACAGGGAUUGCUACGAGUCUCCCUUCCCUUACUCGCUCAGCUAUCUUCACCGCCUCGCGUAAGCAC